rnacentral:lncRNA from 1 species
GAAGAAUCAUGUAAACGUUUUGGACACCUUGACAAGCAUGGUGGAGAAACCAUAGUAUAUGAUAGCUUAGGACUUCUCUUUUAUUUCCCUUUCAUUUUCUCUUAUUAGGCAGGGAUGACCACGAGCCUUUUGUGUGUUUAUUUUCUAUGAUUGUUUUUACCUCAAUUUGAAUAUUUAAUAGGCAACUAAAUGAAGUACGCGACCGUGACUUUCACGGGACUUGGGGAAUGCCUAACACCUUCCCCCGAGUCAAAUGAA